GCCAGCUAUUAUUUUUACGUCCAGUAGGUGUCCUGCUAGAGCAAAUGAAGCUUCAUGAAGCUUCGCGUUGGGGUGAACCAAUUGGAUGAAAAGCUCCAGUGCUUCAUGGGGCUUCAUCUGCCCAUCACUAGUAAUCAGCCUACAAAUGCGGGUACAGGAGGAUGCGGUUCCUGAAUUUGGACACAGCUUCUUCUUCUUCGGGGUUUAACGGCAGCUGGCAUCCUUGCUUUCCACAAAGUUGAGGAGUCUGUUUAUGGGAUUUUUUUUCUUGCAGAAGUGCAUUUGUGAGGUCGGACACUGAUGCUGGAGGGGGCAGCCUGACUCACAGGCUCUGCUCUAAUUCAUCUCAAAGGUACUCUAUCGGGUUACUGCGCCAUGCUGGAAUUCACUGAGCUCCUGAGAUCAAUCACUGAGAUCAAUCGCUUCUUUUAUAAAUGUGUGGAGGUGCUUAGGUGCCUGGUUUUUUCCCCGUUGGCUAUGGAAGUGCCUGGAACUUCUGAAUUCAAUGAUUUGUUUAAAUAAACCUAAUGAACACAACAAAGUGCUGCUAGUCUAGUCUUAACUGCAGGGGAAAGAUACUUACUAGCAUCACAUUGUUUGAGUGUCCCGCUUAACACGACUGAGUCAAGCACAGGAGCCAGAGUCAGGACACCGGUGCAAGGUAACACAAGUGUGAGCAACCUUGUGCUUGUUAGCAACCUCCUGCUUUAACACAUCUUUCACCUGGAGACCAGAGCAAGACACGAGCAGUUCCUGCAAUAUUUCAAACUGGUCAUCUGUGGCAAAAUCCUGAAAAUUCCAGUGAUUUGGCUUCGUUUUUCUGAAGAAUGAUAGUGACAAACAGACUGAUCGGUUGAAGUUGAUUUGCCGGACAUUUGGCUGCACUGCUAAUCAGAGAGCAGGAAUGAGGUCCAGUGGUCUGAUGCCAGCAGAUUCUUUUCCUGU
ensembl:lncRNA